rnacentral:rRNA from 1 species
UGCCAGCAGCCGCGGUAAUACGGAGGGUGCGAGCGUUAAUCGGAAUUACUGGGCGUAAAGCGUACGCAGGCGGUUUGUUAAGCGAGAUGUGAAAGCCCCGGGCUCAACCUGGGAACUGCAUUUCGAACUGGCAAACUAGAGUGUGAUAGAGGGUGGUAGAAUUUCAGGUGUAGCGGUGAAAUGCGUAGAGAUCUGAAGGAAUACCGAUGGCGAAGGCAGCCACCUGGGUCAACACUGACGCUCAUGUACGAAAGCGUGGGGAGCAAACGGGAUUAGAUACCCCGGUAGUCCACGCCGUAAACGAUGUCUACUAGGAGUUCGGUUUUUCGGAACUGUCUUCCAAAGCUAACGCAUUAAGUAGACCGCCUGGGGAGUACGGCCGCAAGGUUAAAACUCAAAUGAAUUGACGGGGGCCCGCACAAGCGGUGGAGCAUGUGGUUUAAUUCGAUGCAACGCGAAGAACCUUACCUACACUUGACAUCCAGAGAACUUACUAGAGAUAGUUUGGUGCCUUCGGGAACUCUGAGACAGGUGCUGCAUGGCUGUCGUCAGCUCGUGUUGUGAGAUGUUGGGUUAAGUCCCGCAACGAGCGCAACCCCUAUCCUUAGUUGCCAGCGAUUCGGUCGGGAACUCUAAGGAGACUGCCGGUGAUAAACCGGAGGAAGGUGGGGACGACGUCAAGUCAUCAUGGCCCUUACGUGUAGGGCUACACACGUGACUACAAUGGCGCAUACAGAGUGCUGCGAACUCGCGAGAGUAAGCGAAUCACUUAAAGUGCGUCGUAGUCCGGAUUGGAGUCUGCAACUCGACUCCAUGAAGUCGGACAUCGCUAGUAAUCGCGAAUCAGAAUGUCGCGGUGAAUACGUUCCCGGGCCUUGUACACACCGCCCGUCACACCAUGGGAGUGGGUUGCUCCAGAAGU